GAAAUUUUAUUUUUUACUUUUUACAUGUCAAUGCUUGAUUAAAUUUUAAGACUUGUAAUUUCAGAGUGCAUGUAUCAAUUGUGAGUACAUCGUUUCUGAAGUUCAGUUUCAUACUGGUUACAUAUUUUUCAGUGAUCAAAUCUUUGAUCAUAGAGAAAUUUUCACAACUAACACAUCAUAUAAAUCCCUACAUGGCUACCACUAACAACUACCACAAACACGAAUGACAAAUAAUACAAAUACGACACAAAGACAAUAGACACGACAUAUUGGCACCAAAUGUCCACACAAAA
rnacentral:lncRNA from 1 species